AGCCUCCCCUGAGCCGUAGCUUCCCCCCUCACCUCAAUUUAGCAAGAGCCACUUCCCUGCUCGUGUGCGACAGCAGCGCCGUUGCUUGCCUCCAGCCAAAUUGCAGCAGCCUCCAACCCCUUCCGCCUUGUCUUGGCCACUGCUAGAUUCCCCUCGAGCCCCUGAACCCAUUUCUCUCUUCCGCCCUACCCGAGAUCCGCAGCGUGCGCAACCCAAACCUUGCACGAACCUCUCUCCGCCAUGGCCGGAGGUGAGCUCACCCCCGAGCUCCCCAGCUGCCCUAGAGCCUUCCAGAGGACAGGCCCUCCUGCCCGAGCCCACCGGUGUCCUCAGCACCACGAAUGGUGCCCCGAGCACCGGCAAGCCCCGCCGGAGUGCCUCUGUUUCCUGUCCAAGUGCGCACGCAGAGGUGGGAGAAGAACCCGACAGGCGGGCCCCGCCUGUCGGUGAGUCAGCCGCAGCCCAUGUAGUGCAAAUCCCCCUGGUACGUCUUCCUUCUCGUAAGGCCUAUUCCCCUAUGACCGUUUCAAAUACGCUUCCUCUCUGUCGAAAGUGUAUUCUCACCGAAACGUUUUCUUUUAGUUUUGAUUUUAAGAACAGACUUGACCAGAAUGUUUGACUCGCUCUAACUUUUUAUAGGAAACUCCAAAUCCUUUGAUUCUUUUUCCUACCUGUUUAUAAUUUCAUCUAGUUUAUUUUAAGAUUUAUUUCAAAAUUAUUCAAACAACUUUUGUGUACUGUUUUGAAUAUGUGUGUUAAUACUAAUAUUUGUCAAAAUAGGAUUUGAAGAGAGGAUACCUACUCCAAGAUAUGGGGUACACAUCACCCUCCUCAAAACCCCAAGGCAAGCAUUUGAAUCCAUAUUUGCAUAAAGUUGUGUGAUGAUUGUGUGGUGCAUAAAUCGCGUGAUUUGAGGUUAUGUUGACAAUGAUCUCACAUGAAAUAAUACUUUGCAUAUUCCAUGCAUGCUACUCACAUUAUUACAAUGGUGAAACAUGAUGAUGGCAUGUUCUAGUUAUGAGAGGUCGUGGAAUAACCUAGUCACUCGGAACGUGAUAGGUUAUGGCCUGGUCAUGACAUGUGCACGAUGAUGCCAGUAUCGACCUAGAUCGAGUAUUGUCCGUGGCAUAUCUCUAUGUCGUGCUACCAUAGUUUCUUGGAUAAUAGAUUUGGUAUAGUCAGUUCUAGACCUAUUAUCUAGAGGGGCCGGUAUGAAGGUAUCCACGGCCUUGGAAUAAAUCCAUUCAUCCGGUUAGGGGACAUUGGUGUUCCCGGUCUCGGACCGGGAGAGAAUGGCCCUUCGCAGUGAGAGCGCGGUAUAAAUUUUUGAUCCCAUGCUAGUCGAGGUAGGAGCCUCCCCGUCUUAUGGUUUUGCCUUGGCAGCAUAGUCCGGGUGAAGCCGGGCUUCGCGGAGGAAAAUCGGUGUGUGCUCAUUCUGAGUGUCCGCUUCUAAAAUGCCGUACGCGGGAUUAGUGUUGUCGACUAUCGAAAACCGUUGGCUAUGGGUAAAGAGUACACCCUCUGAAGAGUCAAAACUAUUCGAGUAGCCGUGUCCCCGGUCAAGGACGUUGUUUGACGAGUCAAGUGUCGGUCCUAGAGUCGGUCUUUGUAGUAUAAGCGGUGACAAUAACAAUGGUUGUGGAAAAUCAUAUGAUGAUGUGGUGGAUGAUCAUAUUAUGAUUAUUACCCUGGACUAACCCCUAUGAUUAUUUUGUUGGAUAUCCCUGGGACGGUUCUACAUCCUGGAUAUUCAAUAUUUAUUAUUAUCUAUUAUAAGCCCUUUUUGUGGUGUCGCUUAGAGGCCCGACUAUGGCAUGCUUAUUAUUUCUUAUAAGCCCUUUAUGUUGUGUCGCUGAGACGCCCGACUGUGGCAUCCUUAUUAAUUCUUAUCAUCCCUUUAUCUGGUGUCGCUUAGACGCCCGACUGUGGCAUGCUUAUUAUUUAUUCUAAGCCCUUUAUGAGGUGUCGCUCAGACGCCCGAUUGUGGCACACAUAUUGUUACUUAUUCAGUAUUAUCAUCUUUGCUUGUUUAUAAAACAUUAGUGGAAAAAUUGUAUAUCUUCAUGAAUGCAUUCAGGAAUUAAAAUCUAAUGGCGAGAUAUAAUUGUUAAGUAGAAAUUUGCAUGCAUCUCACCCGCUUAACUUAUUUGUUUUCUUGAUGUUUGCGAGUACAUUCAAAGUACUCACUGGCUUGUCCAUGGCUAUUGUCUUAGCCAGAUUGCGUUCAAAGAGGAGGACGAUGCCGUCAACCCUGGAACCUAGGAGUCAAGGAUAGUAGCCUCGUGAGAUAGGAAUUUAUCAUGGUCAGCUAUUCCUGUGGGAAUGGAGUCCCAUGGGCACUGGAGAUUUCUCGAGUCGCUUGCGCCGUCAACCCCAGACCUUUAUUCAACCCAGUAGACCUUCAUGGUCUUGUAACCCAGAUUUUGUAUUUUGCUUGUAUAUUUUGUAUCAAGUAGGUGUCUACCAGCUAACAGCAAUCCUAGGGCUGGUGAACACAGAGACAUGUUUUCUGGAAAUAAUUUUCUGGAAAACACGUCACUACAGUAGUUAUCCGAAGCGCUUCAGCUCCCAGAUGUCCGCGUCGAACACGGUCGACACCUCCCACUUGUGGUGAGAGCCGACAGCGCUUGAGAUUGGGGGAGGCAAGAGAGACGCUGAGGAUAUAGGUGGAGAAAUCUUUGGAUUUUUUCUCCUUUUUGUAAGGGAUUGUAAUACCAAGGGUCCCUUUUACUGCGCCGGUUGCCCCGCCACCUACUUCCGAAAAAUCAUUAAGCCGUUGCACGUGCGGGUGAACCUGUGCAGUUACUUGUAUCCGAGUAAAUGUGGAGGCACAAUCUCCUCGAAAGGACGUGACCCUCAAGACACAUACCAUGCCGUGGUUUAAACACCUUCACGGAGAAGGAUGCGAGUUUUAAAAUGUGUAGGGGAACAGAUCGGAAUCAGCCGAACACGGGUGGAACUCACCUUGCAAGUCGCUCACUAUAUAUGUAAGGAGCAGCCGAAGACUGAACACACCAUCCUUGAAGGCUAGUUCGGGGGCUACUCACGGGGUUUGGGAUCCAGUGGUCCUCGGGUGGCCAGUUAAUAAAUAUUGGAUGAGCCCGUUGGGCCGCGCCGGAGAAGUAUGGGCUUGAUGACGACCUGUACUCUCGAAGGAAUAUCCCGAAGAUUGGUGUGUACCCCAAACUUAGGAGGACUAGGUCGGCUCAUCUAUUCCCGAUUAUAGUUGAUAUGUUGUAAACCCUAGGGACCAUGGUAUCUAUAUAAACCAGGGACUAAUGACCCACAAGUAUAGGGGAUCUAUUGUAGUCCUUUCGAUAAGUAAGAGUGUCAAACCCAACGAGGAGCAGAAGGAUCUGACAAGUGGUUUUCAGCAAGGUAAUAUCUGCAAGCACUGAAAUUAUCGGUAACAAGUAGUUGUGUGGUGAGAUGAUUCGUAGCAAGUAGCAAGUAACAAAAGUAGCAACGGUGCAGCAAAGUGGCCCAAUCCCUUUUGUAGCAAGGGACAAGCCUAGACAAAGUCUUAUAGGCGGUAAAACGCUCCCGAGGACACAUGGGAAAUUCUGUCAAGCUAGUUUUCAUCAUGUUCAUAUGAUUCGCGUUCGUUACUUUGAUAGUUUGAUAUGUGGGUGGACCGGCGCUUGGGUACUGCCCUUACUUGGACAAGCAUCCCACUUAUGAUUAACCCCUCUCGCGAGCAUCCGCAACUACGAAAGAAGAAUUAAGACAAAGUCUAACCAUAGCAUUAAACUAGUGGAUCCAAAUCAGCCCCUUACGAAGCAACGCAUAAACUAGGGUUUAAGAUUCUGUCACUCUGGAAACCCAUCAUCUACUGACUACUUCCCAAUGCCUUCCUCUAUGACCAAAUAAUGGUGAAGUGUUAUGUAGUCGACGUUCACAUAACACCACUAGAGCAAAAACAACAUUCAACACAUCAAAAUAUCGAACGAAUACCAAAUUCACAUGACUACUUAUAGCAUGACUUAUCCCGUCUGCCCAGGAACAAAAGUAACUACUCACAAAGCAUAAUCAUAUUCAUGACCAGAGAGGUAAUGAGUAGCAACAAGGAUCUGAACAUAAACUCUUCCACCAAGUAAUCCAACUAGCAUCAACUACAAAGAGUAAUUAACACUACUAGCAACCUUACAAGUACCAAUCGAGUCGCGAGACGAAGAUUGGUCACAAGAGAUGAACUAGGGUUUGGAGAUGAGAUGGUGCUGAUGAAGAUGUUGAUGGUGAUGAGUCCCCUCCGACGAGAGGAGUGUUGGUGAAGACAAUUGCGACGAUUUCCCCCUUCGGGAGGGAAGUUUGCCCGGCAGGAUCGUCGUGCCAGUGCUCUAGAUUGGUUCUGCUCAAGUUACGCCUUGUGGUGGCGGCGAAACCUCCGAAAAGCCUCCUCUUGAUUUUUUCCAGGCCGAAACCCUUCUUGUAGCAAAAGGGGGGACCGGUGGGCCAGCAGGGAGCUCACAAGCCCCCUAGGCACGGCCAAGGGUGGAGGCCGCGCCUAGCAGGCUUGUGGCCUCCUGCUGGCGCCCCUCUGGCACUUGUUCGGCCCAGUAUUUUUUGUAAAUCCCAAUAAAAAUCCAUGUUGAUUUUCACGUCUUUUGGAGUUGCGUAGAAUAGGCAUCUCAAACUUGCUCCCUUUUUAGGACAGAAUUCCAGUGGUCGGCAUUCUCCCUCUUCAUGUAAACCUUGCAAAAUAAGAGAGAAAAGGCAUAACUAUUGUACCGUGAAGUGUAAUAACAGCCCAAAAAGCAAUAAAUAUCAACGUGAAAGCAUGAUGCAAAAUGGACGUAUCAACUCCUUCAAGCAUAGACCUCGCUUGUCCUCAAGCGAAAGCCUGGAUCAAUAAACAUGCCCACAUGUUUAGGGAGAGAGGUGUCGACAAAACAAGAUACGAACAUGCAGGAAUCAUGAUCAUUGUCAGAAAAGCAAUACCAACAUAUAUUCUCUUAUGCUAAAGUGGCAAUUCCUUCACAAAGUAAAGCAUGGAUCAAGAACCUUACCGAGAAUUAACAACCGAUAGCCUUUAGUCAUUGAAGCAAUUGCAAUUUAUCACAACAUCCGAAAGAGUCAAAUAAGAACUUGUUAAGCAAAUCCAUAUACUCAAUCAUCUUUUCAUUCUCUACAAUUGCUACAACUUACGUGGUACUCAUGAGAUCAGAGUUUCAGUUGGACACAGAGAAAGAUAGGGGCUUAUAGUUUCGCCUCCCAACCAUUUACCUCAAGGGUAAUGUCAACAAUAAUAAUUCAUGAACACUUACUUCCAAGUUGACAUAUGAAUAUAGAUCUUUCCCUAGCAUAUAACGUUAGCCAAGAUAAAGGCAAAAUAAGAAAUUGGUGAAGAUAACCAUGACUCUUUCAAAGGGCAAAAAGUAAAGGUACAAGAUAGGCCCUUCGCAGAGGGAAGCAGAGGUUGGCAUGCGCUUUUGAGGUUUGGAUGCGUGUCCUCUUAGUGUGGAGGAACGUCACUUUAUAUUGCCUCUUGUGAUAAAGAACUUUAUUAUGUAGUCUGUCGGUUUUAUGUCUUCCUCAUCACAAGUUCGUAGAAAGCUUAUUUUCCACACACUAAUUGAUCAUAGAUAAUAGGGAGCAAUUUUUAUUGCUUGCACCGAUGAAAACUUACUUGAGGGAUCUUAUUCAAUCCAUAGGUAGGUAUGGUGGACUCUCAUGGCAAAACUGGGUUGAAGGUUUUGUGGAUGCACAAGUAGUAUCUCUACUUGCUGCGGGAGUUUUGGCUAAUAUCAGGUGGAAGCAAUCGUCAAUGCUAAGGGAUCUCUAGUCAUAUAACAUUGUUCGGAAACAAGCAAACACAAUUCAUUAUGUUGUCUUCCUUGUCCAACAUCUACCUCUAAGCAUGCAAAAGUUUAGUGAGUGUUCACAAUCAUAAAUGGUGUCCAAGAUGAUGUAUUUAUAUAUGAACCUCUCCUUCUUUAUCACUUCCUAUUAAUUGCAACAAUGACCAAGGUCUACGUUUGUCUACCCUCCACAAGUUUCAAUCAUCAUCCUUUUUAUAUGUGAAGCCAUCACUUUCAAUGAGAUCAUUACAUGAUCUUUCAUGCUUUUGUUCUUUUCUCACUCUUUUGAUCAUGGCAGGAGGCAAAGCCCUCAACUAAGACACUCUUUAUUAUAUGGCUCACGAGCUCGAAUACAUCGGGGGUGACACAAAGGAAAACUCAAGACUAAAACACUAAGACCUUUAUUCUACUAGAGAAAAAGAAAACUGAAAAGGAACAAACUAAAACAAAGGUAAAGGCAAAAGAUGUGAUGGUGAUACGAUACCGGGGCAACUCCCGCAAGCUUGGCACAAGCCAAGGGGAUUGCCCAUACCCAUGCUCAGCUGUCUUCCUUUGGAGGUUAUGGUGGUGGAGUUGUUGCAACAUAGGUUUGAUCCUCCGUCUUCCAAGUCAUAGGUGCUCCAUCAUGGAAAGAUGUCCGAGUCUCUGGAAUCCUCAAAUCUGCAGCCAACCGUAUUGAUUUAAAUCUAUACUCAUACUCACAGUUUUGGUUCUACAGGUCAUAGAUCUGUGCUUGGAGGUGAUCAAUUCUGUCAUAGAGCCAGGAGAGGUGCUUCCCGAUGUCAUUGGCAUCGAUCUUGUGCUUGUUGGUGAACUCCAUGAUCAUCAUGUGGUUGGCGUUGAGUCCACGCUCCACCAUCCCUUGGCACUUGAAGACCUGUUGCUCCAUUGCUUCGAGCCUCGCCUCCAUGCUUCCGGUCUUCUUGGGCCCCUCAACAUCACGGAUGUGCAACAUCCCCUCAUGCAUCUCGAUAGAUUGAGGGUGUUGCAGCACUCCCAUGAGGUAGGGAUUGAUGACCUUCUCGAAGAUCUUGUCCUUCGGAGCUUUUGGGGACGUCAGAGGAAUCUAGAUCUGCAGCAGAAACAGGCUCGAAACGAAAACAGAGGAAAUUUGCGUGAUACGAGGGUCAGACCUUACGGAAGAAUAUAUAAUGAUUUUUUUCGACCAGAAGGAGUACUCCGCAAGAAAACGGAGUCCGGGAGGCACACGAGGUGGCCACAAGCCCCCCAGGCGCGGCCAGGGGGUGACCCGCGCAUGGCACGCUUGAAGCCUCCUCGUGCGCUUUCCGGACUACUUCAAAUUGUUAUAUUUUUUCAAAUAUUCCAAAACGGAGAAAAAUUCCUACUGCAAAAGUUUUGGAGUCUGUUUACUUACCAAAACACAUACCUCUUCAUUUUCGGAGUCUGAAACAGGCUAAUAAAUAUCCCUUAGGUACUUCUCCGGAGAUAUGGUAUUGAUAAUUUUGCUUUCAACAUUUAUGGGAGUACCUGAGAUAUAAUGCUUUAUUCUCUGCCCAUUUACCACUCACGGACAAUUACCUUCCGUGUUGUUGAUCUUCAUAGCACCGGAACAAUAUACUUCCUCAACAAUAUAGGGACCUUCCCAUUUAGAGAGAAGCUUGCGUGCAAAAAAUCUUAAACGAGAAUUAUAUAGCAAGACAUAAUCACCUACACUGAACUCACACUUUUGUAUUCUUUUAUCAUGACACCUCUUAACCUUUUCUUUGAACAACUUGGCAUUCUCAUAUGCCUGAGUUCUCCAUUCAUCAAGCGAGCUAAUAUCAAAUAACCUCUUCUCACCAGCAAGUUUGAAAUCAAAGUUGAGCUCUUUGAUUGCCCAAUAAGCUUUAUGCUCUAGCUCAAGAGGUAAAUGACAUGCUUUACCGUAUACCAUUUUGUACGGAGACAUGCCCAUGGGAUUCUUAUAGGCAGUUCUAUAAGCCCACAGUGCAUCAUCGAGCUUCUUAGACCAAUUCUUUCUAGACCUGUUGAUAGUCUUUUGCAGAAUUAGUUUAAUCUCUCUAUUAUGUAGCUCUACUUGACCACUGGACUGAGGGUGAUAGGGGGACGCAAUUCUAUGGUUGACAUCGUACUUAGCAAGCAUUUUACGAAAAGAACCAUGAAUGAAAUGUGAACCACCGUCGAUCAUUAGAUAUCUAGGGUCUCCAAAUCUAGGGAAGAUAACUUCUUUAAGCAUCCUAAUAGAUGUGUUGUGAUCAGCACUACUAGUGGGGAUAGCUUCUACCCAUUUAGUGACGUAAUCAACAACAACUAGGAUAUGAGUAUACUUGUUGGAUUUUGGAAAAGGUCCCAUAUAAUCAAAGCCCCAAACAUCAAAUGGUUGAAUAACAAGUGAAUACUUGAUAGGCAUUUCCUGACGUUUACCGAUAUUACGUAUUCUUUGACAUUCGUCACAAGACAAGACAAACUUACGGGCAUCCUUGAAGAGAGUGGGCCAAUAGAAACCUGAUUGCAAUACCUUGUGUGCAGUUGUAUCUCCCGCAUGGUGUCCUCCUUAGGCCUUGGAGUGACACUUUUGUAGGAUUUGUCCCUGUUCAUGUUCAGGUACACAACGUCUAAUAACACCAUCUACUCCUUCCUUAUAAAGGUGAGGAUAAUCCCAAAAGUAAUGUCUCAAGUCAAAGAAGAAUUUCUUCUUUUGCUGGUAUGUGAAACUAGGUGGUAUCUAUUUGGCAACGAUAUAGUUUGCGUAAUCAGCAUACCACGGUGCACUACGUGAAGCAUUGAUGACAUUCAAUUGUUCAUUAGGAUAGCUAUCAUCAAUAGGUUGUGGGUCAUCAAGAACAUUCUCCAAUCUAGACAAGUUAUGUACUACGGGGUUAUCAGCACCCUUCCUGUUGACAACGUGCAAAUCAAAUUCUUGUAGCAAGAGAACCCAUCUGAUAAGUCUAGAUUUAGCGUCUUUCUUCUCCAUGAGGUACUUAAUAGCAGUCUGAUCAGUGUGAAUAGUGACUUUGGAAUCAACUAUGUAAGACCUGAACUUUUCACAUGCAAACACGACUGCUAAAAAUUCCUUCUCCAUAGUAGCAUAGUUUCUUUGGGCACCGUCUAGAGUUUCACUAGCAUAGUGAAUAGCAUUCAACUUCUUUUCAACUCUUUGCCCUAGGACAUCACCAACAACAUAAUCACUAGCAUCACACAUGAUUUCAAAAGGUAAGUUCCAAUCAGGCGGUUGAACAAUAGGUGCAGUUAUCAAAGCCUUCUUAAGUAUUUCGAAGGGCUUCCUCACAAUCAUCGUAAAACAAAAGGAAUAUCCUUUUGCAAGAGAUUGGUAAGAGUCCUAGAAAUCUUAGAGAAGUCUUUAAUGAACCUCCUAUAGAAACCGGCAGUACCAAGGAAACUUCUUAUACCUUUGAUAUAUAUGGGGUAUGGCAUUUUCUCGAUUGCGUCAACCUUAGCCUUAUCGACUUCAAUACCUCUUUCAGAAAUUUUAUGUCCUAAGACGACGCCUUCAUUAACCAUAAAGUGGCACUUCUCCCAAUUCAACACAAGAUUGGUGUCUUUAGAUCUCUGCAAGACUCGAUCAAGGUUGCUGAGGCAAUCAACAGAGGAAGACCCGUAAACGGAGAAGUCAUCCAUGAAAACCUCAACAAUCUUUUCACAAGAGUCAGAGAAUAUAGCCAUCAUACAUCUUUGAAAGGUGGCAGGUGCAUUACAUAAGCCAAAAGGCAUACAUCUAUAAGAAAAGGUACCGAAAGGGCAGGUGAAAGUGGUUUUCUCCUGAUCAGAUUGUGCAACAGGUAUUUGGGAGAAACCAGAAUAACCGUCUAGAAAGAACAAGUGUGUGUGUUUAGACAGUCUUUGUAGCAUUUGGUCGAUAAAAGGGAAAGGGUAAUGAUGUUUCCUAGUGGCCUUAUUCAAUUUCCUAAAGUCGAUCACCAUCCUAUAGCCAGUAAUACUCCUCUAUGGGAUCAAUUCAUCCUUAUCAUUAGGAACAACGGUAAUACCUCCCUUCUUAGGGACGCAAUGCACCGGACUCACCCAAUCACCAUGAGCAACAAGAUAAAUAAUACCCGCUUCUAGGAGCUUUAGUAUUUCUUUUCUUACUACCUCUUUCAUCUUAGGAUUUAAUCUCCGUUGAUGAUCAACAACUGGUUUGGAAUCAGGAUCAGUUUUAAUCUUGUGCUGGCAUAGAGUGGGACUAAUGCCCUUGAGAUCAUGAAGAACAUAUCCAAUAGCAGCACGGUGCUUCCUCAAAGUUUUCAAUAAUUUCUUUUCUUAAUUCUCUGAGAGGCUAGCACUAAUUAUGACAUGAUAUAUCUCUUUUUCAUCAAGAUAAGAAUACUUAAGAGUAUCAGGAAACUUUUUAAGCUCGAACACAGGAUCACCCUUUGGUGGGGGUGUAUCCCCAAGCAGUUCAACAGGCAAGUUAUUCUUAAGGAUAUGAUAUUGUUCUAAGACAACUCCAUCUAUCUCAUCCCUUUCAUCCAUAUGCAUAUCAUUUUCAUGCUCAAGCAAUUAUUGCUCUAAGGGAUCAGUAGGAGGCACGGCAAUAGAAGCUAGGGCAAUAGUUUCAUCCUUACUAGGCAACUCUUCUUCAUGAGGUUGUCUACCAAACUUGAAGAAAUUGAACUCAUGUGACACGCCUUCAAAGCCAACAGUGACAGUUUGCUUCUCACAAUCAACAUGAGCAUUGACAGUACUGAGGAAGGGUCUGCCAAAUAUGAUGGGACAAAAGCUAUCUUUGGUGUUAGAAAGAACGAGGACAUCAGUAGGAUACUUCAUUUUACCGAGGAAGACUUCAACAUCCCUAACAAUUCCCACAGGGCAGAUAGUAUCUGUAUUGGCAAGCUGAAUAGUGACAUCAAUGGGUUCUAUCUCGACAGUUGCAAUCCCGUUGGGCCGCGCCGGAGAAGUCUGGGCUUGAUGACGACCUCUACUCUCGAAGGAAUAUCCCGAAGAUUGGUGUGUACCCCAAACUUAGGAGGACUAGGUCGGCUCAUCUAUUCCCGAUUAUAGUUGAUAUGUUGUAAACCCUAGGGACCAUGGUAUCUAUAUAAACCAGGGACUGAUGACCCACAAGUAUAGGGGAUCUAUUGUAGUCCUUUCGAUAAGUAAGAGUGUCGAACUCAACGAGGAGAAGAAGGAUCUGACAAGUGGUUUUCAGCAAGGUAAUAUCUGCAAGCACUGAAAUUAUCGGUAACAAUUAGUUGUGUGGUGAGAUGAUUCGUAGCAAGUAGCAAGUAACAAAAGUAGCAACGGUGCAACAAAGUGGCCCAAUCCCUUUUGUAGCAAGGGACAAGCCUGGACAAAGUCUUAUAGGAGGUAAAACGCUCCCGAGGACACAUGAGAAAUUCUGUCAAGCUAGUUUUCAUCAUGUCAAUAUGAUUCACGUUCGUUACUUUGAUAGUUUGAUAUGUGGGUGGACCGACGCUUGGGUACUGCCCUAACUUGGACAAGCAUCCCACUUAUGAUUAACCCCUCUUGCAAGCAUCCGCAACUAUGAAAUAAGAAUUAAGACAAAGUCUAACCAUAACAUUAAACUAGUGGAUCCCAUUCAGCCCCUUACGAAGCAACGCAUAAACUAGGGUUUAAGCUUCUGUCACUCUAGCAACCCAUCAUCUACUUACUACUUCCCAAUGCCUUUCCCUAGGCCCAAAUAAUGGUGAAGUGUUAUGUAGUUGACGUUCACAUAACACCACUAGAGGAAAAACAACAUUCAACACAUCAAAAUAUCGAACGAAUACCAAAUUCACAUGACUACUUAUAGCAUGACUUAUCCCAUGUCCUCAGGAACAAAAGUAACUACUCACAAAGUAUAAUCAUAUGCAUGACCAGAGAGGUAAUGAGUAGCAUCAAGGAUCAGAACAUAAACUCUUCCACCAAGUAAUCCAACUAGCAUCAACUACAAAGAGUAAUUAACACUACUAGCAGCCUUAGAAUUACCAAUCGGACUAGCGAGACGAAGAUUGGUUACAAGAGAUGAACUAGGGUUUGGAGAUGAGAUGGUGCUGAUGAAGAUAUUGAUGGUGAUGAAUCCCCUCCGACGAGAGGACUGUUGGUGAUGACGAUGGCGACGAUUGCCCUUUUCGGGAGGGAAGUUUCCCCGACAGGAUCGUCCUGCCGGAGCUCUAGAUUGGUUCUGCUCAAGUUCCGCCUCGUGGCGGUGGCGAAUUCUCCGAAAAGCCUUCUCUUGAUUUUUUCUAGACUGAAACCCUUCUUGUAGCAAAAAGAGGGACUAGUGGGCCAACAUGGAGCUCACAAGCCCCCUAGGCGCGGCCAGGGGGGAGGCCACGCCUAGCUGGCUUGUGGCCUCCUGCUGGCGCCCCUCUGGCACUUCUUCGGCCCAGUAUUUUUUAUAAAUCCCAAAAAAACUCAACAUUGAUGUUCACGGCUUUUGGAGUUGCGCCGAAUAGGCAUCCCAAACUUGCUCCCUUUUGAGGCCAGAGUUCCAGCUGCCGGCAUUCUCCCUCUUCAUGUAAACCAUGCAAAAUAAGAGAGAAAAGGCAUAAGCAUUGUACCGUGAAGUGUAAUAACAGCCCAAAAAGCAAUAAAUAUCAACAUGAAAGCAUGAUGCAAAAUGGACAUAUCAGGGACCUAUAUCCAUAUAGAGGACGCUAAGUCAUAUUGGGUUUAGCAUACACGAUCUCGAGGUAGAUCAACUUUGUAAUCAUCUUCAUCAUUACAAUCAAGCAGGACAUAGAGCAUUACCUCCAUAGGAGGGCCCGAACCUAGGUAAACCGCUACCCCCUCUCUUCCUGCAACCCAUCGAUCCAAGGUCCAUAGUGCGGGAUCCAAGGUUUUGACACCGACAACGGCAAUAGUGUUGGGAAACUAAGGACUCGAUCAUACCCACGGUGAAUGUGCUCCCUGACAUAAUGACGCAUAGAACCACUGUCGAAAUUGGUGUGCACUUGGGUGUCUUUGCUAAGGACCUCAAGCAGUCUUGGCUAAGAUGACAGGAUGAUCCUACUGGGAACACGUCGGCGAGAAUUCAUGAGAAGCAUAAGAAAUAAGUACACACAAGUGCGGGUCCACGACAGGAAAAGAGAGAGAAAGAGAAGGAGCAAGCUUUUGUUGAAAAAUGAUGAAAAUUUAUAACAUUUAACGGAGAAAACACCGAGUGUUUUCUUUGCAUAAUUUCUUGCAACAUUACAUGGGGUGUUGCCUAGAUGCGGAAGGACAUCUCCCACUACGAUGUGGUGACUAGUUCAAUCAAAAGGCCUCAUGGAUGGAGCGCCAAGUUCAACUGGCCAAGCCAGGAUGCGAUGACGCUUUCCCAAUCCAGCCGUGACUACUCGGAGUCGUCUCCCUCGAGAUUGGCGCAAGGGAGGAUAUAAUCGUCUUCAUCAUUGCUGGAGGUGUCCAUUCCCUGUCACUAGAGUUUCUGCACAUCAAUCCAGUCGUAUGCUGGAACUCCCAAAGAACAUGACAGAGAGCAUGGUCUUCCCAUCAAACCUGAAGUGAAGAAGAUGCUCCAGACCCAAGCAUCGUGAACACACGAACGACCUCCAUCCACACAUCAUAAAAAUGGCGCCCCCAGGGGAAAAUUUGUGUGCAACCCAUACUAGCCCGUUGCGGCAUCCAUCCGCCCGAAGCCACAAGCAUGCAUGCUUGCUGCCUUCCAUGACCCUGGCGAAAGAGUCCGGAAGCCGCAGCCAGCUGCGGGGAAGCCGGUGUAGCGAGACUACGAACUCAUGUGUCGUGUACCAUGCAAUCCCCUCGGGUCAGUGGAGGGGCGACACCGCCGUGACCACCGAGGCAUGGAGCACUCCGUCCCCCACGACCCAUGGCCGCGCCCCUACCUUGGGUACAUGCGCCAGCCCCUACUACUACCACCUUGGUGAACUACUCGAAAGAGGUCCGUAAAGCAAUCACUGAAUUUCAGACUCGUCCGUGUCCUUUACCCCUCGCCAUUGCAACGGUGUCUCCUUAGAGAUGAAGGAAAGAGAUGGGGAAGAAGAAUGGUGGCGGCUGAAAUGGAUGUGAAUGAAUAGUGCAUCCCUCGAAUCCUUUUUAUAGGGAGAAGAUGAGGGAGGCGGUCUCUUUGACACGCCAAGAGACAAUCAAGCACCGUUGCAGCGUCCGCCGAACCUUGCCUAUAUUGUGCCUCACGUGCGACACAUGUCGUAAUGGGAAUAAUGGCGGACGAGACGGUUCAUGGGAGGAAGUAAUGCCUCCUCAUUUGAAGAUCCCGUGCCUUCCCAAUAAUACCCUGCGAGCACAACCUCGUACCACCACUCCCACAUCCACAGUAAAUGUGCGACAUGGGAAAAGAAUAAAGUAUCAUCAUUACUACAGGGAAUUGUGGCCGUGUGUGCCCGUGCACUGUUUUUGGGCCGCCAACAAACGUCAGGGACGCAUGUGUGGACCGGGCCCGGGGGCUACUGUCGACGUACUAAAAUAUGGGGGCUUUAUUACCCACACUUGUACACAAGCAGUCGUGCCCCUAGCCCGACAAUACCUUGCCGAUCUGCACCUAGACUUCAUCUUCAACAAGCGAAGACCAGAAACAAGGCCCCAACAAGCCACUUUGCCGGGAUGUGGAAAGCCAGACAUCAACCGGGCCCGACAAGGCCCCUCUAGAUCUCUGCUGCUCCACCUCAUCAGCUCGUUGUCAACAUUAGCGAACUGUCAAGCGGGCAAGCACUUAGGUGGGCCUGGUCAGAGUCAUGCAGUCACUUUAAUGAUACCCGUCCCAUGGUGUGUCAAGAAAAUAGAAGGUAGCUGGGAGAACAAUGUUGGGUUCUACCGUAGGUGCAUCGCGUGCAAAUUAAAAUUUUCUUACGCGCAGAACAUCCAAGAACAUGUUAUGGAGAUGGAUCAUGGAUCGUUACCACUAGACACACAGUGUCGUGUAGCAGAAGUAGAAUUGGGGCAGCACGUCUGCGUGGUCCAUCUCCUCCUCGUCCGAUCUCCCUAGAAUAGCGAGUCGUCGGAUCGUCUCCGUCGAACAGCCGGUCACCGGAUCCCAUGUACAGGUUCAUUGGAGUGGUGCAGGUGCACCACCACUAAUGGUAUCCGAGCGUGUAGGAGGAACACCAUGUGGCAGACUGCUAGGUCCGGAUCACACAGUUGGCGACAGCGAGUGGAUGUGGCUAGGUGCAACACAUGCAUAUCCCUAAUGACGGCAUCGAAGCAAUCAACUCAAUAAGAGUUCACCACCUCCACUAUAUAUAGGUGUCCGUCACGGGCUCAACUCUUGGGCCUCGCACAGACCCAAAAGACAACGUGUUCCUUCCCUUAAGCUUGUGACCCUUUAGGUUCUCGUUCACUUGGUCGCGAGACAGACCAUGUCUAACUCGGCUGGUCAGUAGUCGCCUCUAGCAAUGUGUGCCGACUCCAAGUGUCCGAUGAAGCUCGUUAGGUGUUGUGGAUGAACUAGUACAGUGUUCUUGAGGGCCUUCGGAGGCUUGGUGUUGUGCCCAUGGGAGAAUGAAUGAGUCUCCCCUCUACGAAGUAACCUAUCCUCUAUAUAUAGUCGCAGCCCCGAUCCUCUUCCCUUAUCGUUUCGGCGGGAAGGGAUCCCACAACGGCCAAUUUCGAAGGGGGAAGGGUAACAUGCUCCCCUGUCCAAAAGUGGUCUUUGCCUGCAAAGUUGCUGCCAGCGCUGCAGGGACGGGUUCAGGGAUGACGUUCAUCGUGCUGGCGGGCGGCCAUGGUUUUCCUACACCAGAAUGGAAACCUUUUGGAGAUUCCUUGGGAACCUCUGGUACGUCCUUGCCUCCUUUGCACUAAAGGGGAAACUGCGCCCCCCCGCUGUGUGCUGCUCACCUGUCCUUACCUUGCGUCAUCCUUGACUCCUGAGGCCGGGCCUCGCCUCGGAAUAUCCACCGCUCCUGAGGGGUCCUGAGGAGGCCCCCUGCGGGUCUUGAUGCCGUUCCUCCUCGUGAGGCUUGGACCCUCACGAGGGCCUUGCCUUGACUGAUGUCAGGCCCGUUAGCUUGCUUGAUGAAGUGGGCCAGCCCUGGGCCGCAGGCAGGUAGGUCUGGGUACCCCCAUUCCCAGAACGUCGAGAGGAGCCCCCCGAGCCCAAGGCGUGCCUGGGUUGGCUUCUCGGCGAAGUCUUGAGGGCAGCCCGAAGUGUCACGGCCCUAGUUGCCUGCGUGCCAGGCGACAUACGCGUCCAACAGGUAUGUGGUGACGCUCUGGAUCCUAGAGGCGUCUCGGGUGCGCCAGGGCACGAUGUCACGAUCUUCUAGAACUUUGCAUGCCAUCAUUGUUCUCGUUGAAUGGCAUCGCUGCGGCCCUCGCGGACGUGACCGCUUGGCGGACAGGUGAAGCGAUGUGGAUGGCAGUGCUCCCGUCUACCCACCUCGCGACCUACGUGGGUCGCGCGACGCUCGCUCUCCCACGACGGUUGGUGGUCGUGGUUCGCCUAUAAAUCUGCCUCACCCCCGUCAAGGGAUAGGCACUACAAUCUUGAGAUUCCUCUCUUCUUUGUUUUUUCCCAUCAAGAAAACCUCCUCUCCUCUGUGUUUCCAUGUCUUCCAUGGUGUCUCCGGGAGGCGAACCUAGCACAGGGAAGCGCGCGGCUCCGUCCGCCCCCGGGAGCAGCGGCGGNUACCCAGGAUGAGGCAUCGCACGCCCGAACGAUGGCGUUCCAGUGUGCCAAGAAGUUCGCAGGCAUCGCCGACCGGGUGGCCGACGUGACGCACUGAUUCGUGCGGGAGGCCCCUGCGUUGCCAAACGUGAGGAGCGACGGGGGCUAUCUCGCCUUUUUCUAGAAGGUGGUGGAGAUGCUCGAGGCUGGCAUCUCUCGCGUGGAUGAGGACAGCACGACCGCCGCGCACGAGCCUCUCGGUCGAGCCCUCACGCUCGUCUUCUCCAACCUGUGCCGCCUUGCCCCAUAGCUCGACCUCCGACGCGUCAUCGAGCUAGCGUCUGCUGAGUCACGUCGCCUUCUCCAGGACGAAGUCCGUCCACACGUGGACGUCCUGGUGGAGCGAUACGUCCGGGUUCCCGUCUCCAGCGAGGAGGAGGGAUCCGACGUCGAGCCUUCAGGUGCCAACGGCGACGUCGGCGGCCUCUCCCCCUAGGCACCCCUAGCUUCUGUUUACUUCCUCCUGCGAUGUUGGAUCAAGAACUCUGCCCUAUUGGGUGUUAAGCUUUUGCGUUAUUACCUUUGUCAUCCGUCGUUUUCCCUUUCGCUCUGGAAUUGAUGGUUUUCUCGCUGGUGGUUGUUGGGGCUUGGCUUCGAAGCUUAGAGACCAUCACUGCCCCAACCAGUGCACGGGGGAAGCGGCGGCCAGGGCCCUCAGGAGGUCCCUUCGUCCCGAGGCACCACUCGUGCGGCCGCACGCUUGGUCGAUAGCCUCGUUCCUCGCCGUAUCUGAAUCCUUAGGCCCUGCAUCCCUUCGUUAGUACGCGCAUUUUGACUCAUGGUUAGUUUGACGCGAAACAUAGCUCCUCCUGAGGAGCUCCUUCUUUGUAGGUGGGAUGGGGUGGGUUUGUGCCUGUCCCUUCCAUAGCUCGUGGGUUUGUGCCUGUCCCUUCCAUUGCUCCUCCUGAGGAGCUCCUUCUUUGUAGGUGGGAUGGGGUGGAGACCCCUUUCGGCACUCCAUGCUUGCGGGACUUGGUCCCGCAUUAUGACCGGUGAGGCUCCUGGGGCUCGAUGCUCAGGAGCCCCUUUGGCGCUUGAGUGAUUCCUCUUCCUGUUCCUUUGGUCAUCGCCUCAGGAUGCCCUAAGGGCUCCUGAGACUCUUUGUGGUGAUAUCUUGCUUCCAUCCGGACCCCCGAGCGGGGGUUGAUCGCCGAAAAUGUUCGCCCUUGGGACGACAAGUCCUUGCUUUCGUUCCUUAGCCCCUAGGCGAGGUGCGGAGCGUUUACCUGCUCAGAGAAUGUCACCCAGAAAAAGAGGCUUCAAAACCGGAAAAUACAAGAAAGCACAAGAGAAAGUUCCACCCCCUUUUCGUUUUUCAAACAUCAACUUUUAAAAUUGACAGAUGUAAGUCCAGCGGAAGAUAGUUCGAAAUCCAGGAAAAGCAAGCAAAUGUCGCGUCCGACACCUAGGUUUGCAUAGUCAUUGGUAGACUAUGUGGGUUUCCUUGCCAGCUGUGGGUAUAGUCAUUGGUGGAUUGAGUUGAUUGCAUCCAUAUCCUCCCCAACGCGGAGCAUAGGGCUUCCACUAGGCAUGGGUGGACCCCUUCCGCGUCCUUGGGGCCCCUGGGUGUAUACAUCCUCUGCUCGUUAUUACUUGAGAGUGACACGAUGGGGGUGUAUCUGGGAGGUCGUGAGGAUGCUUUGGCCUUGCGAGUGUCCCUACCCCCGAGGCAUCGGCACCCGAUUCCGAAAGUCAUUGGUGGACUAUGUUGAUUACCGCCAUUUUCGCCCAGCGCUGAGCAUAGGGCUUCCACUAGGCAUGUGAUGGACCCCUUCCGCGCCUCGGUGGCCCUGGGCGUAUACAGCCUUGGCUCGUUAUUACGUGAGAGUGUUAGGGGAUGAAGUAGGUUCCGGAAUGAUUGAAGGACGAUGCAGAGGUGCGACGAGUUGAUACAGGUCCUGCACGCUCCUUCUCGUGAGGCCGGUUGAGGGAUUUUCUAUUGCUCUAGGUCGGUACGUCCCAAUCCCAUGGAUUUCCCUACCACCGUGAGGCGCCUCACGGGGCAAGGCUCUAGCUCCCCUGAUACCGACCGAAUGUGCCUGGACGGCACCAGGGUGGCCAAGUGGCUGUGUGACCUGUAAGGAACCUGAGCCACGAUGCUCAGGAGCCCCCUUUAACGUUCAAGCGGCUCUACGUCACUAAGAUCCAGUCCCGCAAGUUUCCCAACUGCCGUUGCGUGUGACCGAAUGAAUGGAUGUAGCUAUGGGGUCAAGCCUUGCCACCCCUCAUAACAACUGAAUGUUCGUGGAAGAUAUCAAGGGUGGCAGGUGGCCUUAUGACCGGUAAGUCCCCUGAGGCGCGAUGCUCAGGAGCCCCCUAUUGAUGCUCAAGCAGCCCCCGACGCGCUCCGCUGAUUGUGGCCCUGGGAAGCCGCAAGGACUCCCCGGGUCGGGUAGAUAGCCCGAAGAUGCAAGCAAGGAAAGAUGUCAGGUCGCCAAAUGGAUGCUGCAGAAGUUACAGAGACAUGAGUAAGUGAUAUGAUGCGCAGGGGUAUGCCGUGAACACUUGAAGUUCCCGUAGUCAGCAGGCACUCCCUAGAGGAGUGAAUCCAAAAAAAUUACCUCGCAUAGCUUCUUCACGUAUGAGGGGCGCCUCGUGAGGCCCGACCAUUAGCGUCUGUUCCAACUCCAUGGUUGCCGAGGGUGCCCCGCGCCACUUGCAUCUCGUUGCUUCAUAUGCCUUGUCCUCAUGAGGCCUGGGGUCCAGUCCUUCGCAGUUCCUCCGCUGGGGUGGCGGCUGGCGUCGCGCCCUGUGACCUAGGGGCACUGUGGCCCUCCAGGGUGUUCCUUACUCCUGAGAGGAAUAGGCGCCCGGGGUGGACGUUUGAGGCUCUACUUCGUCGAGAGGGUCAGGUGGUAUCUCAUACUCCGGUAUGUAGGGCUCCAUGUAGGCGUUUGAUCGACCUCCAAAGUCGUUCAGCAAUGCGACGAUGGUGGUCCCCCUCAGCGGCGGAGGGGAUUCCCCAGCCUUGUUGCUCAAAGAUCUUCCUGCGAUGGACCUCCACACGAAGCCGCAUGUUCUUGUUGCUUCCGUUGGUUGGUCCCGGUGUUGCCCGGAGGAGACUCCCCCUUGGUGUCCCGGCGUGUCUCCGUUGCCGUAGCUUUCCCAUGAUGACGUCUUCGCUGACUGCUGGGUGCGCCUAAGUGAGCGCUCCCGCCUGGCCGCUCCGGGUUGUCGAGGACCGACCUGGUCUUGGUAGUGUGCGCCGGCAUGUGCAUCAAAAGCCCUGCCAUUCUCUUAGCGCCCGUGGUGGUUUCCGUCAUGCUGUGCCUCAAGGCCGGCCGUCGGCACUUGAAGGAGGAGGAGGGCAGCGCGAGAUGCGCCCCUCUCCCCCCCUGCGCGCAGGAGGGGCUCUCUUGCUUGCAGGCCGAUGGACCGGCAUGAGGUGUGAGCCCUUGGCGACCGGCGCCUGCGGCCUUGAAGGAGAAUGGGGCGGAUGGCCUUCUGAGCGAUGGCGAUCAGCUCCAUGAUGUGGUCUGCCCAGGCGUCGAAGCCCCCUUGCAUCGAUCGUUGGAGGAGCAUCUCGCUCGCCAUCUGCAAUGCGCUGUGCGUGCCGAGGCCUGCCAAGUUGAAGCGACGCGUCGGGAAUGCCGGGGUUGCCUCCCAGCCGUCGUGCGGCUUGGUGCCGCGGGUGGUCGCGAUGGUGGAGGUGAUGUUGACGAUCUGGUACGAGCCUCCUGGUACCACAAGGCCGGUGCAUGUUGCGGCUGCUGUGGUAUGACGGUUGGAGGCCAGCUCGACGAGGCUCGAAGAAUCUUGCUGGGCGCCGGUCAUCGUGACAGCGGACUUAGGGACGUUGAAGCUCGGAGAAGACCUCGACACGCCCCCUACCUGGCGUGCCAAAUGUCGGAUUUCGGGCUCCGCAAAACCCUUAAGAUUCGAACUUAGGGGCGUGUACGAAGAUCUAUCACAACCUAGCCUCACCUACCUUGCUACUCAAUGGACGGGGCAAGGAACUCACUCGAUGGUAAGGAAGACACACAACACGGCAGUUUACGCAGGUUCUGGCAACUGAGAAGCGUAAUACCCUACUCGUGCUUUCGUGGAUUACCUCUCUUGGAGGUGGGUGGAUGAACUAGUAAAAUGUUCUUGUGGGCCUCCGGAGGCUUGGUGUUGUACCCGUGGGAGAAUGAAUGAGUCCCCCAUGUAUGAAGUAACCUACCCUCUAUAUAAAGUGGCGGCCCCGGUCCUCUUCCCUUAUCGUUUCGGCGGGAAGGUAUCACACAACGACCAAUUUUGAAGGGGGACACGGGAACAUGCUCCCCUGUCCAAAACUGGUCUUCGCCUGCAAAGUGGCUGUCAGUGCUGCAGGGAGGGGUUGAGGAACGACGUCUGUCCUGCCGGCGGGCCGCCAUGGUCUUGUUGCACCAAAAUGGAAACUUGUUGGAGAUGCCUUGGGAAAAUCUGGUACGUCCUUGCCUCCUUCGCACUAAAGGGGAAACUGCGUCGCCCCGCUGUCUGCUGAUCGCUUGUCCUUCCCUUGCGUCAUCCUUGACUCCUGAGGCCGAGCCUUGCCUCGGAAUAUCCGCCGCUCCGGAGGGGUCCUAAGGAGACCCCAUGCGGGUCUUGAUGCCGUUCCUCCUCGUGAGGCUUGGCCCCUCACGAGGGCCUUGCCUUGAGUGAUGUCGGGCCUGUUAGCUUGCUUGAUGAAGUGGGCCAGCCCUGGGCCGUAGGUAGGCAGGUCUGGGAAACCCCAUUCCUAGAACGUGGACAGAACGUAGUGUGGAUGCUAGAAGGAGCCAGAUACAGCCAACUACUGAUGAGUGGGCUACCAUCUUAGGAGUCCCAAAGGUGCGAGAUGGAGACUUGUAUGUGUACUUAGAAUCCAAGACGAACGACAACGCCAUGGCCAACAUGUACAACCCUAUUCCCCAGUAGUAGGUGAAGAAUCCCAAGUUUGUCUCAGCCUAUUUUAUAUAAGCAGGAUUGCAAACCUCCAACAGAAUCCCGAGCCACACAUUGAUUCCCAAAUUAGGAUAUGAUAAGAUGAUCCGUUGUUAUUCUAUUAACAUGUCGCAUCAUGUGGACAACCUCACUAGGAUGAGAGUGAUGGAUCUCAUAGAUGAGACCAUCAAGAGGGCUGCUGCUGAUCAGAAGAGAUCUUAUGGAUAUACUACAUACAUUCACAUGCUAAUCAAUUCCAAGGUUGGAAAGAGCAUAUAUCGACUUGAUCGACCACCCCUACCCCUCCAGCCAAAGUUUGAGGAUAAUGUUGUGGUGAUGGAUCCAUCUCAUCCCACUUCAUCUACUGCACAAGCAGUUAUAGAAGAAUAGGCCCAGGUAGAAGCAGCAAGAGCAACUAGUGCUCUUGUCCAAAAGAUGGAGAAUGAUUAGAUGGCCUACCUUGUCAGUGUUACCAAGAGGAUGGAUAAGAACAUUGUUGAGCUACUUGUUAAUAAGAAGAGCCUAAAAAGGAUUAUGGAGACAAAAUUCUAUACCUUGACAACAAGCUAACUGAGUUAACCAGCACGGUCAAUGCUUUGAAGCAAGAGGUAGAUGGAGUCCCCCUGCCAUUAACAGAUGAUGAUGAUAUCCCUACACUUCAUGUAACUCCUCAGUUCAGGACUCAUGCUAGACCUGUAGUAGUGGCUGCCACAGAGAUGAGACCAUUAGUGUCCGCUCCUGCUGCUACAUCUAUAGUGGCUCCUUCAGCACCUCUAGUGUCCAGUUCACGAGCUUAGAGGACUUAUGUAGAAGCUUUCAUUGAUGCUCUUCUUUCGACUCCUUCCACGACCACCGGAGCAGCGUCCUCGCCCCAUGGAGGAGAUCCAACCCAUAGGAUGAUUAGCUCUAUACUUUCAAGAUUUUUGGUAACUUGUUCCCAAAGGGGGAGAAAUUGUAUAGAUCAUAGGACUUCUGGAGAGAGACAGAGAUAGAGAGAGAGAGAUAGAAUAUUGCCUUUUGUUGCUUCUCUUGGCUUAAAAAACUCUUGGCCUCUUUUGUUCAUCUUAAACUAUGUUUAGAUUGAUCUAACGCUUUAGGCAGAUCUAUUUCCUAUCAUUGUGAUAUUGAUAUCAUGAUCAUUCACUCACUUGCUUGGUGUUAUGUGCAUUGUAAUCCAUUCAUAUCCUUUUAUGUGCACCACCAAUAUGUAUGUGACAUGGGAGAGUAACCGAUGAUCCUAAUUGAUUGUGCAUUUGUAUUCAAACGCAAUUUUAAAAUAAUGCACAAAUUUAGGUGGAACGUGUGCUUAUCACAUACUUAAAGCGAUGAUGUUAUUGAUAGAUUUUAUUAUUGUCAAAUCUUUCAUCUAUAUGUUGUCAUCAAUUACCAAAAAGGGGUAGAUUGAAAGAACAACUUCCACCUAGGUGGUUUUGGUAAUUAAUAACGACCUAUAAUUCAUUGAACUAAUGAUUCUAUCAAGUAUAUUUCAGGAAAAGUUCAAUGAAUGGAUUGGCUAGGAUUGUGAGGAGAUCACGAGAUGCAAGGAAGAUCAAUUGGCAAAAGCCACAAGACUCUACAUUCUUACUUUAUGUGAGAAAUAACAUUUUAGUAUAUAGGAAAGCCAAUACUAUUAAAAAUUUAUGAUCUAUCUAUGACGAUCCAGUUGCUCAAAGUGCUUAGACAUUAGUCGCACAAAACAUUAUGUCCUUGUGGGGACCCCGACUCAUAAGUUGUGAUCACAUAAUGUACAUGCACAGUGAUCUGAGAGAUCAAUGCUCACUAAACACACAGAAACUGAAUGACAAGAGUCUUACAUCCUAUACAUACCAUUUUGCUCGAACAUGGCCUUUAUGGACAAGUAUUCAAAUAUUUGUAGUGGAAAAUCUUCAUCGAUAGCGUGACCCAUGCAAUCUGCCUUAACCCUAUAGGAAUUCGCCCUANNNNNNNNNNNNNNNNNNNNNNNNNNNNNNNNNNNNNNNNNNNNNNNNNNNNNNNNNNNNNNNNNNNNNNNNNNNNNNNNNNNNNNNNNNNNNNNNNNNNGACAGGUCACUUCUGGUAACCAGAAUUCACAUUUUGAAAACUUGGCAUAAAGGCGAUGCUCUCGAAGUUUCAUCAAUACCAGCCUUAGAUGCUCGGCAUGUUCUUGUUCGUUCUUCGAGUAGAUGAGAAUAUCAUCGAGGUAUACCACAACAAAUUUAUACCAAAUACUCCAUGAAGAUUGAAUUCAUCAGACGAGAGAAGGUGGCUGGGCAUUGGUAAACAGGACAUGACGGUGUACUCCUAUUGGCCAUAACGAGUAACAAAAGCCGUUUUUGGAAUGUCCCCGUUCUUGAUCUUGAUUUGAUGGUAUCCCAACCUCAAAUCCAUUUUGGAGAAGAUUGAGGAUCCAACGAGCUGAUCGUACAGGUCGUUGAUCCUGGGGAGCGGAUACUUGUUGUUUAUGGUGACCAGAUUAACUGGUUGGUAAUCUACAACCAUCCGAUCCGUUCCGUCUUUCUUCUUGACGAAGAGUACGGGACAAGCCCAAGGAGAAGAGCUAGGACGAAUGAAACCUUUGUUCAAGGCCUCAUCUAAUUGCUUCUUAAGUUCGGCUAGCUCCAGGGGUGCCAUCUUAUAUGGUCUUCUGGCUAUUGGGACAGUUCCCGGAACAAGAUCUAUCACGAACUCUACAUCUCUGUCAGGUGGAAUUCCUGGCAGUUCCUCUGGAAAAACAUCCGGGAAGUCACGGACUACCAGAAUGUCUUCAAGUUCCGGAAGAGGGUUGGCAUUUAAGGAAUAGAGUUGGCAUUUGGCAACUUGAGUAGAGACAUUUACUAUCUCACCCGAGGGAUGGGUAAGCUGGACAUUUCUAGAAUGAGUAUCGAUCUUGGCAUAGUGAGCUGACAUCCAGUCCAUACCCAAGAUGAUAUUAAUAUCCGAAGAUCUCAAUGCUAUCAAUGAGGCUAGAAAAACUAGCAUGUCUACUAGAAUUUCAUUGUCAUAGGUUAUCCUAGAGGUUUGCCAUUUACUACCAGGAGUUUGGACAACCAAAGGAAUUGGCAUAUCACAAAAAUACAUGUGAUGCAACUAUGCAUAACUUUCUGAAAUGAAGGAAUGAGAAGACCCAGUGUCAAAGAGAACACACGCUGGGUGGUGAUUAAGAAGCGUACCCAGCAUGACGUCGGGAUCCUCUGCAGCUUCUUCUGCUGACACAUAGUUCACACGGCCACGUGCAGGAGUUGGCUUCACAUAGUAAGCUUUGCUCGACUUGGCUUGCCUGACGGACUUUCCGGGUUGCUUGGCACCCACACUUUUUGAGGACACUCACGGGGAAUAGUGCCCUGGUUCUCCACACUUGUAGCAUAUCACUUUGUUGGCACGUGGUGCAGCAUUGCUAGCUGGACCACCACAAGCUUUUGUUGGAGGGUUGGCCUGAUUCGUCUGAGGCGCCACGUAGGAUGGCCUCGGAGUGUAUCUUGGCGGCAGAGAACCAUUCGGAACCCACAGCCUGCAUUUGGGAAGCGCCAAACCAGAAGAAGAGCCAAAGUCACGGGAGUGCUUCCUUGUGGCUUCAAGUCAGUAUGACCAGUCUCGACACUGAUCGCCUUGUUGACCAGGGCUUGAAAGCUUGCACACUCGUGGAGGCGCAGAUCACGAUGAAGCUCAGGGCUCAGACCCUUACGGAACCUUGCUUGCUUCUUGGCGUCAGUAGACACCUCCUCUGUUGCAUAGCGGGCGAGGUUACCGAACUCGCGGCUAUAGGCAUCCACAGACAACUUGCCCUAAGUGAAGGCACAGAACUCCUCUCUCUUUCAGUCCAUCAGNNNNNNNNNNNNNNNNNNNNNNNNNNNNNNNNNNNNNNNNNNNNNNNNNNNNNNNNNNNNNNNNNNNNNNNNNNNNNNNNNNNNNNNNNNNNNNNNNNNNGAUUGUAUUGAUGAAGAUGAUUAGAGGGUUGAUCACCUCGAGAUCGUGAUGCUAAACCCUAGAUGAUUUUAGCCUCCUCUAUACGGAUAGGGGUCCCCAGGUUUUAUAGACACCAGGGCCCCAGGGUUUUACAAGAUACCAACAAUAAUCGGGAAAAGAUGAGUCGACCUAGUCCUCCUAAGCUUGGGGUACACGCCAAUCUUUGGUAGUAUUCCUYCCACGAGUAGAGUUCAUCAUCAAGACCAGUCUUCUCCAGUGCGGCCCGACGGUCUCCUCCAAUAUUGAUUAACCGGUCACCCGAGGACCCCACGAAUCCCAAACCUACCCUCAGCCGUCGUGAGCAAGACCUCUUCGUUGUCCUUGCCAUAUUGCUUUGCAUGUCAAGGAGGCUCAAAAUAGUUUAGCGCACAACAAUUCCGACAAAGUCCCUCCGCGUGCAGGUCUUUUUACUACGAGUGUCGAUCGGGCUACAGGAAACUUUUGAGAAACUUAUUGACUUAGCUUUUUGUUUUGUUGUUUCCUUGCCACAAGGUGGUUGUUGUAGCGUCCUUAUGCACACUUGACAUCCUCCUCCGGUAGGCUUGUACGCAGGGGUGGUGGGGAUCUUCUCUUUCUUUUGAGAAAAAAGAAGAGAAAAUUGAAGAGGCACGAACCCUUGCCGGUCCCGUAACACCUUGGAUAGGUAAUGAGGGAGCAGAGUUGUUCAUGCAAAGAUACAUAACAUAAAUGUGUACUUUGACCAGAAGUUGGGGAAUAGUUAGCUUUAUUUACUACACACAGGGUCAUCACCUGGUUGUGCACAAAGGAUUACAAAGGCCCACCCGGCAAGGGCCUUCCCGCUUUGGCUUCAACUCGUUGGAUCCCUUCGCCGACUGAAUCUGUCAAAGAAAAAGGUUGCCUUCGUCAACAGGCCUCGCGUGCACUCUGUGGCUAUGAUAGCGGCGCAGGGCGUUCUGGUAUCUAGCGGUACACUGUGCAACCUGGAGAUGAUCUUCCUCGAGGAGUGUGGCCUGGAGACGAUCUCUCCAUAGCCGUUCUUGCUGGUCCUUGUCAAAGUCAUGCACUCGAGGUGAACUGUAUGUGAGUUAUGUGGGGAGCAUAGCUUUUGUCCUAUAAACGAGGGAGAGGGGUGUCUCGCGUGUAGCUCGAUUAGGUGUCAUUCUGAUUGACAAAAUAGCUCUCGGGAGCUCGUCAACCCAGUGCCUUCCAUGCUUGUGCAGCUUGUCGUAAGUCCUCGUCUUGCCCCGCARRCUUCAACAUUUGCCCUCUCUGAUUGGACAUUGCUCSUUGGGUGAGUAACUGACGCAAAACAGAGCUUAGCACUGAUGUCGCGACNNNNNNNNNNNNNNNNNNNNNNNNNNNNNNNNNNNNNNNNNNNNNNNNNNNNNNNNNNNNNNNNNNNNNNNNNNNNNNNNNNNNNNNNNNNNNNNNNNNNUUUCCUGAUCCGCAGGUUGAGCUUCCAGGUCAUGGAGGUAAUCUCUAUGAGAUGUUCUAUGCGGAUGCCUGAGCUGUGAGCGGAAGGAUAGUAGUCGUACGUUCACAGUCCUGCGUGACUUGUGAAGUAUGCAUGUAAUGUGAAAUGAAUUCCGGAGGCCUAGAUAAAUAAUGUAUAGGAAGCUUGUAAGCCUCUAAUGAGUAGUUUCAUAAUUUUAGUAGUUUGCUCUUCGGUUAAGGUUGUACUGAACUAUGUAAGGGUGUGUAUGAACCAUGGUGUAUAUAUAGUAGUUUCUUGUUACCAUGCUGUUCGGAUAUUCGUUUCCGCAUUCCGUGUGUUCAGUACAUUCUUAAUCCAUAGCUAGUAUUGAUAUGAUAUUGGUCUAAGUUGUGAGUUUGUUUGUCAGGAUGGUGUUCACCAGGUUAAACCGUGGCCCUGGUCAUGAGCAAGGCGAGGGUAGUCAAGCAUCGUAGGAAGACCUGCCUCACCCGCCCUCUCUGGCGGAAGUGAUCCUUGAGGCAGAGAGAAAUAAAAGGGAGACCAACCGACUGUAAGAGCGUAUUGAGCAGAAUACGGCUCGUCAGCCUAGGAAUGCUGCAGUGUCCCUCAACGACUUUGUGAAGUUGAAUCCUCCAAAGUUUCAUCAUUCCGUCGAUCCCCUCGACGCUGAUGACUGGCUGUGCAGCAUCUCACGCAAGUUACGCUCUGCGAAUGUGUCUGAGGCCGACAAGGUGAUCUUUGCGACAUAUUUCCUGGAAGACCCGCCAAUCCGUGGUGGGAGAACCUUUGAAGCUAUGUGUCCCGCUGAACCAGUAGCCACAUAGGCAGACUUCAGUGCAGCCUUUCAUCUGCACCAUAUUCCAGAGGGCCUGAUGGACUGAAAGAGAGAGGAGUUCUGUGCCUUCACUUAGGGCAAGUUGUCUGUGGAUGCCUAUAGCCGCGAGUUCGGUAACCUCGCCCGCUAUGCAACAGAGGAGGUGUCUACUGACGCCAAGAAGCAAGCAAGGUUCCGUAAGGGUCUGAGCCCUGAGCGUUCACUCGUCGAUCGUCGCGCCGUCCGACCGUACGUACGUGGUCGUAACGGCUUUACUACGGUACCCUCGGGUUCGUACCAAAACGGGCGGUAAACGUCGUACGUAGGUUUCCGGAACGGUAACGUCGGGUUUACGACGUUAACUUAACGUACGUUUUAACGGUAAAGGUACCCGACCUAAAACGGGAAACGGGAACACGUACCCCCGUCGGUNNNNNNNNNNNNNNNNNNNNNNNNNNNNNNNNNNNNNNNNNNNNNNNNNNNNNNNNNNNNNNNNNNNNNNNNNNNNNNNNNNNNNNNNNNNNNNNNNNNNAUUGUUAUAAUGUGAGUAGCAUGCAUGAAAUAUGCAAAGUAUUAUUUCAUGUGAGAUCAUUGUCAACAUAACCUCAAAUCACGCGAUUUAUGCACCACCAAAAUCAUCACUCAACUUUAUGCAAAUAUGGAUUCAGGAUGCUUGCCUCAGGGUUUUGAGGAGGGUGAUGUGUACCCCACAUCUUGGUGUAGGUAUCACUCUUCAAAUCCUAUUUUGAAAAAUAUUUGAAUUAACACACAUAUUCAAAACCUCACACAAAAGUUGUUUGAAUAAUUUUGAAAUAAAUUUUAAAAUAAACUAGAUAAAUUCUAAAGAGGUGGGAAAAAGAAUUAAACGAUUUGGAGUUUCCUAUAAAAAGUUAGAGCCAAUCAAACUUUCUGGUCAACUUUGUUUUUAAAAUUAAAACUGAAAGAAAACGUUUCGGUGAGAAUAUGCUUUCACCGGAGAGGAAGCGUAUUUACCGAAAUGGUCACACGGGAACACGCAUUACCAGAAGGAAGACAUACCAGGGGGCUUUGCGCUACUUGGGCUAUGGCUGGCUCACCGACACGCGGGGCCUGCCUGUCGGGUUCUUCUCCCGCCUCUACGCGCGCACUUGGACACGCAACAGAGGCACUCCGGCAGGACUUGCAGUGCUAGGGGCACCAUUCAAGAUGCUGAGCACACCGGUGGGCUCAGGCGAGAGGGCCUCGGCCUCUGGAAGGCUUUAGGGCAGCUGGGGAGUCGGGGAGUGAGCUCACCUCCGGCCAUGGCGGAGAGAGGUUCGU
rnacentral:lncRNA from 1 species